rnacentral:rRNA from 1 species
CCUACGGGGGGCAGCAGUGAGGAAUAUUGGUCAAUGGGCGCAAGCCUGAACCAGCCAAGUAGCGUGAAGGAUGACUGCCCUACGGGUUGUAAACUUCUUUUAUAAAGGAAUAAAGUGAGGUACGUGUGUCUUUUUGUAUGUACUUUAUGAAUAAGGAUCGGCUAACUCCGUGCCAGCAGCCGCGGUAAUACGGAGGAUCCAAGCGUUAUCCGGAUUUAUUGGGUUUAAAGGGAGCGUAGAUGGGUUGUUAAGUCAGUUGUGAAAGUUUGGGGCUCAACCGUAAAAUUGCAACUGAUACUGGCAGCCUUGAGUACAGUUGAGGUAGGCGGAAUUCGUGGUGUAGCGGUGAAAUGCUUAGAUAUCACGCAGAACUCCGAUUGCGAAGGCAGCCUACUAAACUGCCACUGACAUUGAUGCACGAAAGUGUGGGUAGCAAACAGGAUUAGAUACCCUUGUAGUC